CAACUCUGGUUUCCCUUCAAAACGUAUAAAUCUUUCGCCUUUUACUAAAGAUUUCCGUGGAGGGGAACACUCAAAUGAGUCUUUCUCAAUUUUUUAACGGGUCUGGUGCAAACCAGACCU